AGCAUCAGUCAGACCUGUUCCCAGUGCACGUUGGCUUCCGCCAGGGCUGCCCUUUGUCACCGGUUCUGUUCAUUAUUUUUAUGGACAGAAUUUCUAGGCGCAGCCAGGGUGUAGAGGGGGUCUGGUUUGGGAACUACAGAAUCUUGUCU